rnacentral:rRNA from 1 species
UACGGAAGGUCCGGGCGUUAUCCGGAUUUAUUGGGUUUAAAGGGAGCGUAGGCCGUUUGGUAAGCGUGUUGUGAAAUGUCGGGGCUCAACCUGGGCAUUGCAGCGCGAACUGCCAGACUUGAGUGCGCAGGAAGUAGGUGGAAUUCGUCGUGUAGCGGUGAAAUGCUUAGAUAUGACGAAGAACUCCGAUUGCGAAGGCAGCCUGCUGUAGCGCAACUGACGCUGAAGCUCGAAAGCGUGGGUAUCGAACAGG